rnacentral:rRNA from 1 species
CUACGGGUGGCAGCAGUGAGGAAUAUUGCGCAAUGGGGGAAACCCUGACGCAGCGACGCCGCGUGGAUGAUGAAGGCCUUCGGGUUGUAAAGUCCUGUCAGAUGGGAAGAACUGUUACAUGUCUAAUAUAUGUGUAACCUGACGGUACCAUCAAAGGAAGCACCGGCUAACUCCGUGCCAGCAGCCGCGGUAAUACGGAGGGUGCAAGCGUUGUUCGGAAUUACUGGGCGUAAAGCGCGCGUAGGCGGCUAUGUAAGUCAGAUGUGUAAGCCCAUGGCUUAACCAUGGACGUGCAUGUGAUACUGCAUGGCUUGAGUACUGGAGGGGGUGGUGGAAUUCCCGGUGUAGAGGUGAAAUUCGUAGAUAUCGGGAGGAAUACCGGUGGCGAAGGCGACCACCUGGCCAGAUACUGACGCUGAGGUGCGAAAGCGUGGGGAGCAAACAGGAUUAGAUACCCUCGUAGUC